rnacentral:rRNA from 1 species
UACAGAGGGUGCAAGCGUUGCUCGGAAUUAUUGGGCGUAAAGGGCAGGUAGGUGGUCUUAUUUGUCUAGGGUGAAAUCCUUGAGCUUAACUCAAGAAGUGCCCCGGAAACGGUAAGACUAGAGUACUGGAGAGGGUCGUGGAAUUCCCGGUGUAGCGGUGAAAUGCGUAGAGAUCGGGAGGAACACCAGCGGCGAAGGCGGCGACCUGGACAGUGACUGACACUCAACUGCGAAAGCGUGGGGAGCAAAC